rnacentral:misc_RNA from 1 species
UAAAAUGAAUAGAAUGCAUAACUUUUUCGAAAAUUUCAACUACAGUUAUUGGUUGGCUUUAAAAGUUUGGAACAGUUAGAGCCUACAUGGAGCCAAGAACAGCAAUGAAGAUCAUAGUUGGCAAAGCAGCUUUGUCCUCAUUUUAAGUUGGUUAAGGAAAUGGAUAAAUGAAAUGUGCUCUUUGUGGCAAGAUUUUAUGGACUAGGUCAAGGUGGUUUAUUUCAUGGGUGGGCCCAUCAAUGUUACACACAUGGCCACGAGAAACAGGGAGCAGCUUGAUUGGAGCACUUACAUUCAUUUUUUUCUUUCCUAAGUUCAAAUUUACUUGUGCAUAACUUCCAUGUGUAGGUAUAGACAUGGAACCAGUUCAGUGUUGUUAAAGGCGAGCAAGGAGCUGAGGCGAGG